rnacentral:lncRNA from 1 species
GGACCUUUCACUUGUAUGCAGUGACUUCAAUUACUAUGAAAGGACUGACUUUUGGAAAGUAGUACUAGUAGUAGUAGUCGUGACUACAACAACAACAACGUUUAUUUAUAACACCCCUUUCGCCAAAGGGUGGAACAAGAAACAUACAACUGAAAGGCAAACAGAACAAACAAACAAAAUUGAACAAUAUAUGUAAAAUCAACAGCCCAUUCCUCACCAGACGCUUCACAUCUCCACAGCUACUCACUAUCUUAAACGACUCUUCUCGGAGAGCAUUUUACACACUCUGCAUACAACAUGUCUUUCUCCUUCUUCCUCGGAUAGUGAGAGCAUUUCUGCAGUUAUUCUUUCAUUUAGCACGAUACCUAAGUGCUCUACUCAGGUCUUCUUUAAAAAUUCAUCAUUGAAUCCCCUAGACCUAGAGUAUUCCAGGUUUGUUUUCUGUUGUUAAAUGCCUAAAUAUUUUAAAAGACCCUUAGCAUCAUUUUCCUUGUUCUCUAUAGCAGAACAGAUUUGUGUGUUUCUGGGGGAAAAAAACGUGCUGGUUAUUUUUCAUCUCUCCAUAGUUGAUGCAAGUACGACAGCUCAGAUUACGUCCCCUGUUGUGGCCGUAGUUGUGCUCUUAGCUGUUGGGACGCUAGCUGGAUAUAACGCUUACAAGCAAAAGAAAUUCUGUUUCAAACCUAGAGGUGGAGAAGAAGUUGUUUAAGACAUCAAGCUAAAAACUGAGAAAUAUGGAAGAUACCAGAAGAUUAUCCAUACUUUAAUGCACUAUUGUAUAGAUAAUGUAUAACUCCUUUGACAGAAAUUUUGUGCAAUAUGACAUUUUGCUGGGUGAAAGCUCAAGAGCAAAUAACUAUAAUUUAUCACAUAUCUACACAAGGAUUCUUCAUUAAUAUAUCUAUUUUUUUUUCCUCCAAAUACAAGCUUGGUUGUUUUUCCUAGAGGCAACUUCUGCAGCAGAAANGCAAAAGUUGUGGCAGAGAGAUAAAGUUCGGCUUGGAGGCUUUACUGUGUUUCCCACUAAUCCUUCCUCUGUAUCACCUCUCUGUAUAUAGUUAAAUGCAACAUGCAUUUAAACUGACUGUAGCCAAUCUUGGAAGCUAAACAGGAUUGUGCCUGGUUUUUCCUGGAUAGGAAACUGCUGGAGAAAACCGUGUUUUAGGGCUUCUGCAUUGCAUCAGAUGCUUCUGAUGAAGUAGGCUUAUUAUACAUAAAGUCUACAAAAGUUCAAGCUACCAACUUCAUUCUUUCUCAAGAUCCCCUUGUACUGCUCUCAAGACACCUGCAUGCAUUUGCCUGUUGUCAUCAGGAGCUGGCUCUGCCUUUACAAAACAGAGCACAUUUGUUAUGGACAUAGAUUGGCUAGUAACAAUCAGGCUGGGUCUCCACUUACCCAGCAAGGUGGUUCUAUUAUGUGUGUAUGGGAGGUACCACAAUCCACCACUGAAAAAGACAUCUUCACAUCUCCAUUUGAGAGCACAAAAGCAUCAAUCCCUGUGGCAGCCCUCACACUGAUUCUGAAGCUUGCGUCAGCUUGGNAGCUGACGUGGGGGUCCUCCAAAUGCUUUGGGCAGUGCAUUUUGUUGUGCUGCUAAAGUGUGUCUGCUGUGGUAUACCAGACCAUGGGGACAUGCCAUCAACACACCUCCAUGGUCUAAUUUACCCUAGAAUGUUAGAAGACCUCAAAAAAAAGUCUACCAGUAGACCGGACCAAGACAUCAUUCAGGGCAUCCUAAUCCAGUAUAUGAUGCGUUCUAUGCAGAUGGAGUAUAUUACAACAGGGAGGGGCAUUGCUUAAACUGCAUCAAUGUGCAGAAAGGAAGCCCACAGACCCCUUCCUGGUCCACAGCACUGGUGAGUGCAAGAACACCUUGAAUCAAUUGUUUCGUGCAACUGCCUUCAUAAUCUUUUUUGGCAGUGAGAUGAUCAGGUAUAAAUAUACAUAGGUUGCAUUUAUGCCCAUGGAUUUCUGGAUUAAAGUCACUAAGCUAAAGACAGAAGUGGAAUGCACUGUGAUACGUAGAUUUCAGACCGUAUAAGAUGCACAUGUACUUUGGAAUACUUAGGAAAAGCAAAUUAAAAACUCAGGGGAAAAAAAUUUAAAAAUAGGAAACGGUGAUUUGGGGAGAAUUUUUUGUAAAAAACUGGGUCUUAUACAGCAAAACAUACAAAAAUAACAUGUGUAGCAUUUAUUGGGAACUCUUUUUGACUCUUCCAUUCAAAUUUAAAUGUAAACAACUGUGUCAAAUGGAGAAAUAUUUAUGCACUAAAUGUAUGUAUUCUGAGGUGGACUUUCCAAGAAACAUUUUAUCUAAUAAAUAAAUCACCUAUUUUCA